AAAAAAAAAAAGCUUGAAGGGCCUCCUGGCUGAACACUUCUGCUUGGCACAAGAGGAGCAGAACUUGCCCCCGUGUCAUGCCAGGGACUCACCUGUCCCCUCGCUCAUCACCUCCACCUGACUUGCCCUUCCAUUGGGCCAGCAACUCAACAUUACUUCUGCUCUCCAUCCUUUUUCCAAAUGGGAGGACGUUUUUCCUCUCUUCCCAUGGUUUCCCAGCGGCCUUGGGCCAGCCAGAGCUGGAGGGGGAGGAGGAACGGCACCUCUGUCACCAUGACAGAAGAAGACCAUCCAGUCAUGCUUCCUUCCAGUGAUGUCAUAAACAGGUGUGGGUGGAUCUCUUCCCUCCCCCUCCCCCCCGCCUUCGGUCAGUGGAAGGCCCAUGCUGAUUCCCAAGGGGCAGCAGUCAGGAACAGGUUUGUUAGUGACAUGGUGUGGGCAUCUCAUUCUUUGGGAUGAUAGUGAAGAACCCACCAAAUCUGGGAAUGCAGCUGUUAAGACUUCAAGGCGAAAGAGAUCACCAAAGCGGGUCACGGAAGCGGAACUGCCACGCCAGCAUCUCGCUCAUCCACUGCAGGCAGAAGAGGAGAAGGAGAGCCGAAAGCAGGAACUGGACGACGAGGAGAGCCGAGGGGAGGAGGGUGUGGAAGAGGACCUGGACGGAGGCGAACAAGAGGGCCACGGUGAGCAACGCCACGUAGGCUGUGAAGGCACAGAGCCCCAGGAACAGGAAGACGCUCAGCACCAUCUUGAUCCCGCUGAGGAAGCUCUCCAGCAGACCCUCCUCGGCGGAGGCCCUCAGAAGUUGGCAGCAGGACAUCAAGGUCAGCAGGGGUGGUAGGCGCUGUCCCUCUUCCGGCAGCAUCUGGUAAGCCAUGGCGACACCCCUGGGUUGGAACCACAAACAUUUCAUCAUCAUCAUCAUCAUCAUCAUCAUCAUCAUCAUCAUCAUCAUCAGCCUUGCCGUCUUGUUGAGUGGGCAGUGUACAAGAUACAAAGAGGCAAAUAAAGGCAACCGCUAACGCUUCUCCA
rnacentral:lncRNA from 1 species